GAUGAACGCUGGCGGCGUGCCUAAUACAUGCAAGUCGAGCGAACGGACGAGAAGCUUGCUUCUCUGAUGUUAGCGGCGGACGGGUGAGUAACACGUGGAUAACCUACCUAUAAGACUGGGAUAACUUCGGGAAACCGGCGCUAAUACCGGAUAAUAUUUUGAACCGCAUGGUUCAAAAGUGAAAGACGGUCUUGCUGUCACUUAUAGCUGGAUCCGCGCUGCAUUAGCUAGUUGGUAAGGUAACGGCUUACCAAGGCAACGAUGCAUAGCCGACCUGAGAGGGUGGUCGGCCACACUGGAACUGAGCCACGGUCCAGACUCCUACGGGAGGCAGCAGUAGGGAAUCUUCCGCAAUGGGCGAAAGCCUGACGGAGCAACGCCGCGUGAGUGAUGAAGGUCUUCGGAUCGUAAAGCUCUGUUAUUAGGGAAGAACAUAUGUGUAAGUAACUGUGCACAUCUUGACGGUACCUAAUCAGAAAGCCACGGCUAACUACGUG
rnacentral:rRNA from 1 species